ACAGCUCCGCUCCUCUUCCCCCACCCGUUUCCUCUGCACCCCACCCGUGGGCUGGAUUCACCUGUCCCAGGUCCGGCCUUGGCUUCUGGCCACACCACAACUCCACCAGCCACAAUGGAGCUAAAGCUCUGACCUGCAUCUUCACUAGGAGCAGGUUGAGCUGAGCCACAUUAGAUCCACCUGACCUUAACCCCAGCCCGUGUCUUAGUCCAGGCAAAGGGCCCGUGUCCUCCUCAGCGCCUGGCCCAGCUCGGUCAGGUGCUCAAUUGAGCGAGAGGGACAUAAAAAUCUGCUAGGCAGCUUUGACAUGCUCAGAUCCCAGCUGUAGAGCAGGGAAAACAUUCCCCACCGUGCACCACACGCCACAGCCGCCCGCCCUUCAGCUGAGGGGACGAAAGGCUUUCACCAACAUUCAUUAAUGCAGCUUCACGCCCCUUGGCAGGAGAGGUAGCAGGUAGUAAUUCACUCGCUAGUAUUCAUCACCAUGCAAUUUUGACAGGUUUCCACGCCCCUUUUAGGGCUCAUGUCCCACCUUCCCACCCCGUUUCCGUUGGCGCCAGAGUGUGGCGCCAUUGGCCAUUUUGAAAAAGUGUGUGUGUGUGUUUGACUAGGGGAAGUGUUGUGUUUGUUUGUGCUUGGGUACAUGGAGAGAAAAAGGUUGAAAGAAGAGUGUGAGAGAGUGUGAAGAGGAAAAAAGAAAGUGAGUGAGGUUUAGUGGAAAAAAGGAAAUUUGAAAGAAGAGAGGUAAGUUAUUGAAGAAAAGAGGCUGGUUAUGAAAGAAUAGAAGGAUUUUUGUUUUAGUUUGAAAGAAGAGAGAUUUUUAGUGAGUUUGAGUAAGGAGAGAUGAUGGUAAAGGCUGAGUUUGGAGAAUAGAAAAUUUGGAGAUAAAUGUAAAAGGUGUAUGAAAUGUCAGGGUGGGUUAAGAAAAAAUUAAAUAAUAUUGUAAACUAGGUUUAAAAAGGGAAAGGCAGAGCCUGUUUGGUAAGCACAGGGUAAAAAAGUGAAUAAAAAAAGCAUUUAAACUAUUCAAUACCAGUGUAGGUUAAAAAAAAAGAGAGAGGUUAAAAGAAAGAACAGGAGAAGAAAAGAGAGCCCUCUGUGCAAAGAGCAAAGAUAGAGCACAUGGUGAAAUCAGAAUGAGAGAGAGAGAAGCAGGCAGAGCCCGUUUGGUGAGCACAGGGUAAGAAAGUAACUAGAAAAGCAUUCAGUAUCAGGGUAGGUUAAGAAAAAAAGAGAGAGGUUAAAAGAAAGAAGAGGGCAAGAAAGAGAGCUCCCUCUGCAAAGGGCAAAGCUAGAGAGCACAUGGUGGAAUCAGAAAGAGAGCGAGAAUACUCACCUUUGAAGUCUUUCUGUAGAAUGAGGCAACUCUUCUGGUUCAGACCCUCUCAGACUCGUUAUCACCACCUUUGGAUCGGCCCAGUCAGAGGUGGUUUUACAGCAGCGUCAUAGAAUUCAUUUUCCUGAACCAAUCCUAGAGUCCCAAGAUUUUAAACAAGAGCCAACUCCCACCUUUCCCCCUCCCCUUUAACUGUUUUAUUCUUAUCUAAAGAAACGGACCCCCCCCCUGCAUUUUCCCACCAUGUAGCCCUUUUACAGAGGAGUGUUUAUAGAAGUUAAAACCAUAAGCUUUUAGUAACACACCAUUUUAAACAGUUUUUUCCCUAGGUUUUAGACUAACAGGUGUUAUUUUUUAGUAAGCACAAUGUGAAGCUGCAGCAAAGCUCCUGUUAGCAAGGCAGCCUCUGUGAGUCAGUGGAUCAGAGAUAAGAAGGCUGCUUCUUUCUCAACAUUUUUAACAAACACAGGUUAAAGUUACAUUAAGUUUUGCAAAGGGAGAAUGACUUGAAAAGACAAACCUAAGACACAUCCCUUUUGUAGGUGUUGUAAUAAAAAAAGAACAGUAAGAAGCACCCCUGGCUUAAAACCCCAGGUUUUUAGUAACAGACAGUUUAUAAACCCCUUAUUUUGUAAACCAUUGAAUUAGAAAGAAGAUUGCUUCUUCCCCCACUUUUUACCAAAGAGAGGUGAAAGGCUUUCAAGGGAAUAAGCACUUGAAAAGACAUGCCUAAAGGAAGACACUUUUUUUUAUUUAACCCCCUUGGCAUAAGUGUUUCAAUGAAAAAGAACAGGCAGAAACACCUUAGGUUUAAAACCCCAGGUUUUUAGUAACAGACAGUUUAUAGACCCCUUAUUUUGUAAACCAGUGGAUUAGAAAGACAAAGAAGCAAAGCUCCUCUUAGCAAAGUAGCCUCUGUGAGUCAGUGGAUCAGAGAUAAGAAGGCUGCUUCUUUCCCAAACUUUUUAAUAAACACAAGUUAAAGUUACUUUGAAAAGACAAACCUAAGACACAUCCCUUUUGUAGGUGUUGUAAUAAAUAAAUAUGCAGAAGCACCCUAGGUUUAAAACCCCAGGUUUUUAGUGACAGUUUAUAUUCCCCUUAUUUUGUAAUCCAGUGGAUCAGAGAUAAGAAGAUUGUGUCUUUUAACAAAAGAGGGAGGAAAGGCUUGUAAAGGAAUAAACACUUGAAAAGACCAGCCUAUUUGAAGACCCAUAACCUUCAUUUAGCCCCUUAGGCAUAGAUGUUUCAAUAACAUGCAAGUCCGCAGAAACAACCCAGGCUUAAAAACACACAAAGCCUGUUUAUAAACGUUUUUCCCUAGGUUUAGGCUCGCACUGGUCAUAGGUGUUUUAAUAAAAAAAAGAGCAUGCAGGAACAGUCUAGGGUUAUAAAAGUAAUGAAUAGUGACAACCCCCCCCCCCCCCCCAGGUUUUAGACUAGCUCUGGCUAUUUUAGAGUAAAAACUGUGAAGGUGCAGCAAAGCCCUGCUCUGCUCUUAUGUAAACAACCAGGACCCUGUAACAACCCCCCCCCUCUUUUUAACGUAUUAAAUAAACACAUGAAUAACAAACCUACCUGAAGACACAUUCCUUUAUUUGUAGGGGUGUUUCAAUAAAAAAAAGAGCAUGCAGAAGCACCCCAGAGCUAAACCCACAAAACCCUUACUAAGAAUAAGUUUCCCCCCAAGGUUUUUAGUGAGAACCACUUGAAACAGCCGUUUGAAAGUCGAGGAUUAGAAAAGAAGACGACCCCUUUGAAAAACAGGCUCCCUGAAGACACUUGUUUUUUAUUUAGCCCCCUUGGCCCGGGAGCCGCAACUACUGCCAUAAAGACCACUGUGUUCCAGAAACAACGUCAACCCAAUGCUUCCGAAGUGACCUACUCAGGGUGCCGCUUGCCCCCAUCCGGCCAGGAGGGGAGGUCGUUGGUACGGUUUGCAUCCAGACUGCGGGGCAGACCCAGCAGUAGCUGACCACAUCCCCGUUCCUACAGCAUCGCUGGGUCCUUUGUUAAGGGCAGACGGCAGCAGCGGAAAAGGAGCUUUACAUCUUGUGCCACAAGAAUCUCAUUCAAGCAGGAGGACCACGGAAGGCAGAAGGCAAACGCUGAGCCCCCUCUGAACUCUCCCUGGCGCUCUGAAGCAAAGCAGUCACGCUGAAGGCAACUAUUCUCCAGUCUUCACUAGGGGCCCGAUCCUGGGACGUGCUGAGGUCACUUAACGGCACUCGGGACCCUUCCAGGAUCAGGCCCCAUAAUUCCAUAUGCCAGGCUAUUAUUAUCACGUCGCAUUUAUACUGCACUGGUGCCUAGACGCCAGCCAGGCCUGGGGCCAGCUGUGCUGGGGACUCCAGCAGACAGAGCUCGUGUCUUCCUGUAUGCAAACCACACAUGCCAUGUGCUGAAAUCAGAGCACGGGGAAAAGCUAACCUUAGCGUGGUAUCAACGCACCACGCCAGCUGUCAGAGACACGGUGUCUGGUGCCCCUUUGUGACACGCUGCAGGCACAGAAGGGUCUGUGGGACUGUGAAGAACAGAGGAGACAUGGGGAUUUUUUUCAGGAAUUGUCUCUCUGAUUGCAAUCGUGCCGCCUGCCCCAGGCUGCAAAGGGUUAACUCAGUCCUCGGUGGCUUUGUUCUGCGGGAACUGGCGUCAGGGCUCUAGACAGCCCCAGCCCCAGUGCGUAACACACAGGACAGGGGCCAGGACCUGGGACGUGUGGGCUCCAUCCAAACUGGACACCACGUGCUGGUGGCUUGUGGCAAGAAGUGGGGCAGUGGGUGGAUGCAGCCCAAAGGGCCUGGCUGGUUUUAGAGACGCUCCCUGCAGCUCCCAGAGAAGCAGGGUCUGCAGAGAAAGAGCCUGUCAGCUGCCCCAGAAGAGCAGGGGGACCAGGGCGCAGUCGGGCCUAGCUAAUUCUGGAGAGAAAUUCUAAACGUAGCUCAGACAGUGUGUGUGCUGGGAGGGGGAGGGGGAGACCUUUUGCCACUUGAACCCCUUUGCCAUGGGUGGCAAGUUCAUAGAAAUUUUGGUGGUGCCCCCCCAAACUCCACCCC